AUUGAACGCUGGCGGCAGGCCUAACACAUGCAAGUCGAGCGGUAGCACAAGAGAGCUUGCUCUCUGGGUGACGAGCGGCGGACGGGUGAGUAAUGUCUGGGAAACUGCCUGAUGGAGGGGGAUAACUACUGGAAACGGUAGCUAAUACCGCAUGAUGUCUUCGGACCAAAGUGGGGGACCUUCGGGCCUUACGCCAUCAGAUGUGCCCAGAUGGGAUUAGCUAGUAGGUGGGGUAAUGGCUCACCUAGGCGACGAUCUCUAGCUGGUCUGAGAGGAUGACCAGCCACACUGGAACUGAGACACGGUCCAGACUCCUACGGGAGGCAGCAGUGGGGAAUAUUGCACAAUGGGCGCAAGCCUGAUGCAGCCAUGCCGCGUGUAUGAAGAAGGCCUUCGGGUUGUAAAGUACUUUCAGCGAGGAGGAAGGCAUUAAGGUUAAUAACCUUAGUGAUUGACGUUACUCGCAGAAGAAGCACCGGCUAACUCCGUGCCAGCAGCCGCGGUAAUACGGAGGGUGCAAGCGUUAAUCGGAAUUACUGGGCGUAAAGCGCACGCAGGCGGUCUGUCAAGUCGGAUGUGAAAUCCCCGGGCUCAACCUGGGAACUGCAUUCGAAACUGGCAGGCUAGAGUCUUGUAGAGGGGGGUAGAAUUCCAGGUGUACCGGUGAAAUGCGUAGAGAUCUGGAGGAAUACCGGUGGCGAAGGCGGCCCCCCUGCACCAACACUGACGUUCAGGUGGGAAAGGGGGGGGAGCAAACAGGGAUUAGAUUCCCUGGUAGUCCACACCGUAAACGAUGUCGAUUUGAGGGUUGUGCCCUUGAGGCGUGGCUUCCGGAGCUAACGCGUUAAAUCGACCGCCUGGGGAGUACGGCCGCAAGGUUAAAAACUCAAAUGAAUUGACGGGGGCCCGCACAAGCGGUGGAGCAUGUGGUUUAAUUCGAUGCAACGCGAAGAACCUUACCUGGUCUUGACAUCCACAGAACUUUCCAGAGAUGGAUUGGUGCCUUCGGGAACUGUGAGACAGGUGCUGCAUGGCUGUCGUCAGCUCGUGUUGUGAAAUGUUGGGUUAAGUCCCGCAACGAGCGCAACCCUUAUCCUUUGUUGCCAGCGGUCCGGCCGGGAACUCAAAGGAGACUGCCAGUGAUAAACUGGAGGAAGGUGGGGAUGACGUCAAGUCAUCAUGGCCCUUACGACCAGGGCUACACACGUGCUACAAUGGCAUAUACAAAGAGAAGCGACCUCGCGAGAGCAAGCGGACCUCAUAAAGUAUGUCGUAGUCCGGAUUGGAGUCUGCAACUCGACUCCAUGAAGUCGGAAUCGCUAGUAAUCGUAGAUCAGAAUGCUACGGUGAAUACGUUCCCGGGCCUUGUACACACCGCCCGUCACACCAUGGGAGUGGGUUGCAAAAGAAGUAGGUAGCUUAACCUUCGGGAGGGCGCUUACCACUUUGUGAU
rnacentral:rRNA from 1 species